GAGGAGCAUUGUAUUCUUUAAAAGGAUCUGUGCUGUAGAUUAAUUAGAACUACAGUGACCAACAUAGUGCCCAUACUGAGGACAACAACAAGGGAAGACAAAUAUACCUCCAAACAUGAGGUUUCUUCAAUGGCAAAACGUAUAGUCAAGUAUUAUCCAAAGCUAUAUGCAGCUGAAGAUCAAAAUUCAUGGGAACCUGUGUUUAAACAACUCCUGGAAAGGCUACAGAAUAUCUGCACACCUCAGAAGCGACAGGACUGUAUGCCUCAAAUAAAUAAAGAGAUGUCUCGGCAUCACCACUGACAAGCCUGAUGCUGCUGAAGUCGAGAAUUCAGGCGAGGCCGAUUCCACUGCAUCUUCGGGGAAUUCUAUUGCUUCAGCGAUGCUUGUUAUUGUGUCACCUUCUAGUCGUACCCAAGAAGUUACAGCAGAGAAAGAAUGUGAACCAUCUAGUAAGCACUACAAAACACUACAGGACCUUUACAAGAAGCCAAAGCCAAAUGAAUUUGCAGUUACCCAGCUCCUUGAUCAUGAAUUUAAUGCACAGAGGUAAUUUAUAGAUUAUAUGGGAGGCUUACCCAUGCUUUAAAGAACUGGAUCAUGUAAGUGCAUACAACACAGACAUCUGACUGAAAUAUUUUUGAAAAUGGUUUCUUAAAACAAAAUAUGUGCUGACUUAGAGUGUGCUUAUUUUAUAGGUAAUGGAUGAAAUGUGUUGUAUUCUUAGUUGGAAUAAUCUUAAAUACAUCACAGAAGUUAAGAGUAGAUGGACCAGUUUUUAUGGAAAAGCACAGCUGUAUGGAGUAAUGAAGAAGAUCCUGAAGCCUCCACAUAUGCACGAUGAUGGUAACAUUUGUCAUGCAUAUUUUAUUCAAACUCAUUUUAGUUAGUUAUGCACUUUACUCAGUGUUGCAGCAUGAUAGGCCUAAAUGAAAGUCAAAUUGAAGUUGUUUAAAGUUAUGAUAUUUUGCAGUUGAUGCUCAAAGGGUUGCACUUUUUUAUGCCAUUUUUUUUCCAUAAAGAAUCAAGUCUAUAUUAUAGUAAG